rnacentral:rRNA from 1 species
GGGAGGGGGGGCGAGCGUUGUUCGGAAUUACUGGGCGUAAAGGGCGCGUAGGGCGGGAUAUCGUGUCAGGGGGGUGAAAGUCCUGGGCUCAACCUGGGGACUGCCUUUGAAACUGAUAUUCUUGAGACCGGGAGAGGAUGGCGGAAUUCCCAGUGUAGAGGUGAAAUUCGUAGAUAUUGGGAAGAACACCGGUGGCGAAGGCGGCCAUCUGGACCGGACCUGACGCUGAGGCGCGAAAGCGUGGGGAGCAAACAGGAUUAGAUACCCUGGUAGUCCACGCCGUAAACGAUGUGUGCUAGCCGUUGGGGCACUUAGUGUUUCAGUGGCGCAGCUAACGCGUUAAGCACACCGCCUGGGGAGUACGGCCGCAAGGUUA